UACGUAGGGUGCAAGCGUUGUCCGGAUUUAUUGGGCGUAAAGAGCUCGUAGGUGGUUUGUUGCGUCGGUUGUGAAAACCCGGGGCUUAACUCCGGGCCUGCAGUCGAUACGGGCAGACUAGAGUUCGGCAGGGGAGACUGGAAUUCCUGGUGUAGCGGUGAAAUGCGCAGAUAUCAGGAGGAACACCGGUGGCGAAGGCGGGUCUCUGGGCCGAUACUGACACUGAGGAGCGAAAGCAUGGGUAGCAAACAGG
rnacentral:rRNA from 1 species